rnacentral:rRNA from 1 species
AGAGUUUGAUCAUGGCUCAGAUUGAACGCUGGCGGCAGGCCUAACACAUGCAAGUCGAGCGGGGGUAGCAAUACCCUAGCGGCGAACGGGUGAGGAAUACUUGGGAAUCUGCCUCGUAGUGGGGGAUAACGUUCCGAAAGGAACGCUAAUACCGCAUACGUCCUACGGGAGAAAGGGGGGGAUCUUCGGACCUCUCGCUAUGAGAUGAGCCCAAGUCGGAUUACUAGUUGGGGGGUAAAGG